UACAGAGGUCUCAAGCGUUGUUCGGAUUCAUUGGGCGUAAAGGGUGCGUAGGUGGCGCGCUAAGUCAGGUGUGAAAUUUCGGAGCUUAACUCCGAAACUGCAUUUGAUACUGGCGUGCUUGAGGACUGGAGAGGAGACUGGAAUUCAUGGUGUAGCAGUGAAAUGCGUAGAGAUCAUGAGGAAGACCAGUGGCGAAGGCGGGUCUCUGGACAGUUCCUGACACUGAGGCACGAAAGCCAGGGGAGCGAACGGG
rnacentral:rRNA from 1 species